UACGAAGGGGGCUAGCGUUGCUCGGAAUCACUGGGCGUAAAGCGCACGUAGGCGGAUUGUUAAGUCAGGGGUGAAAUCCUGGAGCUCAACUCCAGAACUGCCUUUGAUACUGGCGAUCUUGAGUCCGGGAGAGGUGAGUGGAACUGCGAGUGUAGAGGUGAAAUUCGUAGAUAUUCGGAAGAACACCAGUGGCGAAGGCGGCUCACUGGCCCGGUACUGACGCUCAGGUGCGAAAGCGUGGGGAGCAAACAGG
rnacentral:rRNA from 1 species